rnacentral:lncRNA from 1 species
GAGGAUGAUUGUUCUACUCAAAUAUGUGAUAGCAGGAACAGCAGUCUUGACGAGCCUAAUUUGUUGAGCGAGCCUCUACAAUGUGACCAGUCUGCAGUGAAGCGAAAGCUAGUUGACGACCAUGUGUUAUGUGAUUUGUCUUGCAAACAAAAGAGGAGAAUUGGCAAGUCGCGUACACAGCAAACUUCUGAAACACCACGAAGAUCACCAAGACUGGCACGCCUAAAUAUUUCUCAUGACAGCAUAGAGAGCCUAUUGAAAGAACGACCUGAAGUGUUAGAAUCAUCACCA